rnacentral:rRNA from 1 species
GACGAACGCUGGCGGCGUGCUUAACACAUGCAAGUCGAACGGAAAGGCCCUGCUUUUGUGGGGUGCUCGAGUGGCGAACGGGUGAGUAACACGUGAGUAACCUGCCCUUGACUUUGGGAUAACUUCAGGAAACUGGGGCUAAUACCGGAUAGGAGCUCCCGCUGCAUGGUGGGGGUUGGAAAGUUUCGGCGGUUGGGGAUGGACUCGCGGCUUAUCAGCCUGUUGGUGGGGUAGUGGCUUACCAAGGCUUUGACGGGUAGCCGGCCUGAGAGGGUGACCGGCCACAUUGGGACUGAGAUACGGCCCAGACUCCUACGGGAGGCAGCAGUGGGGAAUAUUGCACAAUGGGCGGAAGCCUGAUGCAGCAACGCCGCGUGCGGGAUGACGGCCUUCGGGUUGUAAACCGCUUUCGCCUGUGACGAAGCGUGAGUGACGGUAAUGGGUAAAGAAGCACCGGCUAACUACGUG